UGCGUCUUUAAACAUCGUUGGCCA
rnacentral:siRNA from 1 species